UGGGGAAUAUUGGACAAUGGGCGAAAGCCUGAUCCAGCAAUACCGCGUGAGGGAUGAAGGCCUUCGGGUUGUAAACCUCUUUUCUCAAGGAAGAUAAUGUCAGUGCCUACAAAGAAAACACCGGCUAUCUCCACGUGCCCACCCCCGGGAAUACAGAUGGGGGUAGAGUUGUUCCCAAUUUUUGGGCGUAAAGCGACUGUGUGCGGAGAUAGUUAUUGGGAGUGAAAACCCCCGUGUCUCCCCCAAGAGGUCACCCUAAACUGGUAUGACUAGAGUACGGUAGGGGAAAAGGGAAUUCAUGGUGUAGCGGUGAAAUGCGUUGAUAUCAUGGAAGAACACCAGCGGCGAAGGCGCCGCUCUGGGCCGUUUCUGACGCUGAGGUUCGAAAGCAUGGGGAGAAACAGGAAUUAAUACCCUGCGUAUCCAUGCCCAUAACGUUGGGAACUAAGUGUGGGUCUCAAUCAACCCUUUCCGCGCCGUCGCUAACGCUUUAAAUGCCCCGCCUGGGGAGUACGGUCGCAAGACUA
rnacentral:rRNA from 1 species